AGGUAAGCUACUAAGAGCGAAUGGUGGAUGCCUUGACUGGUAAAGGCGAUGAAGGACGUACUAGACUGCGAUAAGCUACGGGGAGCUGUCAAGAAGCUUUGAUCCGUAGAUUUCCGAAUGGGGCAACCCAAUGUAUAGAGAUAUACAUUACCUAUAUAGGAGCGAACGAGGGGAAUUGAAACAUCUUAGUACCCUCAGGAAAAGAAAUCAAUAGAGAUUGCGUCAGUAGCGGCGAGCGAAAGCGCAAGAGGGCAAACCCAGUGCUUGCACUGGGGGUUGUAGGACUGCAAUGUGCAAGAGGUAAGUUUAGCAGAACAUUCUGGAAAGUAUAACCAUAGAGGGUGAUAGUCCCGUAUGCGAAAAACAAACCUUAGCUAGCAGUAUCCUGAGUAGGGCGGGACACGAGGAAUCCUGUCUGAAUCCGGGUCGACCACGAUCCAACCCUAAAUACUAAUACCAGAUCGAUAGUGCACAAGUACCGUGAGGGAAAGGUGAAAAGAACUGAGGUGAUCAGAGUGAAAUAGAACCUGAAACCAUUUGCUUACAAUCAUUCAGAGCCCUAUGUAGGAAUACAGGGUGAUGGACUGCCUUUUGCAUAAUGAGCCUGCGAGUUGUGGUGUCUGGCAAGGUUAAGCAAACGCGAAGCCGUAGCGAAAGCGAGUCUGAAUAGGGCGCUUAGUCAGAUGCUGCAGACCCGAAACGAAGUGAUCUAUCCAUGAGCAAGUUGAAGCUAGUGUAAGAACUAGUGGAGGACUGAACCCAUAGGCGUUGAAAAGCCCCGGGAUGACUUGUGGAUAGGGGUGAAAGGCCAAUCAAACUUCGUGAUAGCUGGUUCUCUCCGAAAUAUAUUUAGGUAUAGCGUUGUGUCGUAAUAUAAGGGGGUAGAGCACUGAAUGGGCUAGGGCAUACACCAAUGUACCAAACCCUAUCAAACUCCGAAUACCUUAUAUGUAAUCACAGCAGUCAGGCGGCGAGUGAUAAAAUCCGUCGUCAAGAGGGAAACAACCCAGACUACCAGCUAAGGUCCCUAAAUCUUACUUAAGUGGAAAACGAUGUGAAGUUACUUAAACAACCAGGAGGUUGGCUUAGAAGCAGCCAUCCUUUAAAGAAAGCGUAAUAGCUCACUGGUCUAGUGAUUUUGCGCGGAAAAUAUAACGGGGCUAAAGUAAGUACCGAAGCUGUAGACUUAGUUUACUAAGUGGUAGGAGAGCGUUCUAUUUGCGUCGAAGGUAUACCGGUAAGGAGUGCUGGAGCGAAUAGAAGUGAGCAUGCAGGCAUGAGUAGCGAUAAUUAAUGUGAGAAUCAUUAACGCCGUAAACCCAAGGUUUCCUACGCGAUGCUCGUCAUCGUAGGGUUAGUCGGGUCCUAAGUCGAGUCCGAAAGGGGUAGACGAUGGCAAAUUGGUUAAUAUUCCAAUACCAACAUUAGUGUGCGAUGGAAGGACGCUUAGGGCUAAGGGGGCUAGCGGAUGGAAGUGCUAGUCUAAGGUCGUAGGAGGUUGUACAGGCAAAUCCGUAUAACAAUACUCCGAGAACUGAAAGGCUUUUUGAAGUCUUCGGAUGGAUAGAAGAACCCCUGAUGCCGUCGAGCCAAGAAAAGUUUCUAAGUUUAGCUAAUGUUGCCCGUACCGUAAACCGACACAGGUGGGUGGGAUGAGUAUUCUAAGGCGCGUGGAAGAACUCUCUUUAAGGAACUCUGCAAAAUAGCACCGUAUCUUCGGUAUAAGGUGUGGUUAGCUUCGUACUAGGAUUUACUCCGAAAGCGAAGAAACUUACAACAAAGAGUCCCUCCCGACUGUUUACCAAAAACACAGCACUCUGCUAACUCGUAAGAGGAUGUAUAGGGUGUGACGCCUGCCC
rnacentral:rRNA from 1 species